AAGACUAUACUUUCAGGGAUCGUUCCUCUAGUUUCUUCCUAGAGAAGUUCUCAGAAUAUAUAGAGCACCAGAAAGCACAAGGAAGACACAGAGUGUUGUCUGGCUCUUGGUGUUGUUUUGCUGCAACUGCCAUUUGCCUUGAUGACUGGUCUUCGCAUCCUUUGGGGGAGUAAGAGAGAGACAGUGUGGC
rnacentral:snoRNA from 1 species